AUUGAACGCUGGUGGCAUGCCUAACACAUGCAAGUCGAACGGCAGCACGGCAGUAGCAAUACUGUGGGUGGCGAGUGGCGGACGGGUGAGGAAUACGUCGGAAUCUGCCCAGUCGUGGGGGAUAACUAGCCGAAAGGUUAGCUAAUACCGCAUACGACCGAGAGGUGAAAGCGGGGGGACCGCAAGGCCUCGCGCGAUUGGAUGAGCCGACGUCGGAUUAGCUAGUUGGUGGGGUAAAGGCCCACCAAGGCGACGAUCCGUAGCUGGUCUGAGAGGAUGAUCAGCCACACUGGAACUGAGACACGGUCCAGACUCCUACGGGAGGCAGCAGUGGGGAAUAUUGGACAAUGGGCGCAAGCCUGAUCCAGCAAUGCCGCGUGUGUGAAGAAGGCCUCGGUGUAAG
rnacentral:rRNA from 1 species